rnacentral:misc_RNA from 1 species
GAUGAAGAACGUAGCGAAAUGCGAUAAGUAAUGUGAAUUGCAGAAUUCAGUGAAUCAUCGAAUCUUUGAUCGCACAUUGCGCCCGUCAGUAUUCUGGCGGGCAUGCCUGUUCGAGCGUCAUUACGCCCCUCAAGUCCCCUGUGGACUUGGUGUUGGGGAUCGGCGAGGCUGGUUUUCCAGCACAGCCGUCCCUUAAAUUAAUUGGCGGUCUCGCCGUGGCCCUCCUCUGCGCAGUAGUAAAACACUCGCAACAGGAGCCCGGCGCGGUCCACUGCCGUAAAACCCCCCAACUUUUUAUAGUUGACCUCGAAUCAGGUAGGACUACCCGCUGAACUUAAGCAUAUCAAUAAGCGGAGGA